GAAAAAAAACUUCCUCCCAUUCCUUUUAAUAAUGACGAUUCAAAAGAGCUUAAAAGUGGGAAAAUGUGAGGUUGUGUAUAUACUGUUACUGUCACUGGAGCACUGCUGUUGUUUUUUGACCACACCCAACAUUUCAUUUGUCGUGGAAGAGUGAAAUUCAUCACACAAGGGAUCUGAGCGCAACACAUGUUUUGUUACACUCAUAUGGGUGGGGGAACAGGCUAAGGUCUCAUCUGGAAUGCAUAAAGCAUAACAAUACAUCCCAACAUCUCUCGUCACUCUGAGUGGAGAGCGAGGCCAGGCUGGGAUAGGAGUGGGUGGGAAUCUGCAGCGUCUUAAAUCCGGCUGGAGCAGUAUGGCCAUAUAAUGGAGUCUGUGGGAUCAAGCUGUUCUUCCAGAGCCUGCUUUCUUAUAUGUGACAAAUGUACCCUGUUGUGGGAGGACAUCUGAUUCAGUUUGCCUUGGUUAAAGUGAUAAUCCACCAGAUCUGUGACGGAGAUUUUGGACACGGCUUUCUUCAUAAGUCAUGACUGCUCUUUUGUACUGCUAUGCAUUUUUUUAUCACAUUAUCCCUCAUUCAAAACAAUGUGACCAUUACAGUCAUAUGUUUUUCUUUGCAUUUCCUUUGAUGGAGUUUCCAUUUAUGUGUAAGAGGCUAUUCAAUUUGUGUAGUUAUAGCAUUGUCGCUGCUUACAAUGGCCAACCCAUUGUCCCCUCCAUUCAUUUCAUUUCAAAAUGCUCUCGCUAACGUUAUUUCUUGCGAGGCUUAAAAGCUUUGGUAGAACAAAUGAACUUGGCUCUUAGCCUUAAUGAACUUGUGACUAUGAAAUUACACUGGGGAUGAAAAACAGGAGUGGAGAGAAAACUCAAAUAUUCUGAACAGCAGUUUGAGAAAGUUUUACUUGAGUGAGAGCAAAAGUAUUGGUCUGUGAAUCUACCCCAGUGAAAUUACUUUGACAUAGACGUAAUAUACAUAGACGCCUCAUAGACUAAUGCUGAUGUAUCAGUGCAGCAGCCAUCUUGGACGGGUCCCCAAAGUGCAUUUAGUUCAAAUGGGGAAGGUAGGUAAGCCCAACUACUUUCAUCAUAACUCAUUGAAUUUUUACCCGAUUUUCACACAGUUUGGUGUGUUUUUUAUAAAGGGCAGAGAUGUAGCUAUGAUACAGAUGCCGUCACAUAUUAAAAGUAAGAAUUAUAUAAUUUUCAAUCUUACUUGUGAAAUGUAACCCGACGGGAUCUGGUUUCAAUUCUGCGCAUGGUGCUUGUUCUCCGUUGACUCCAGUUGACUCUGGUGCGAGCCUAGCGUGAGGAGACCCAUCCAAUAUGGCGGCGACCCUGGAUUACACUCCAUACAGAGGCGUCUACAUAUGUUAUGUAGCACUGGGAACUUUUAUAACUUUUUUGCUCAUGGAUUAGAAGUGUAGGGAAUGACACCCAAAUGAAUAAACAAAAUCUGUUUAUGUUUGUUAACUUAGAACAAACCUUUCAAACAUGUGAAGGUCUAGUUUUUGCAAGAGAGUUUGUACGAAUAGAAGUUUUUGAUUGCAAAAACGUGACAAACGUGGUCAUUCUGAUCAUGUUUCACUACAGCUUCUUGUCUUGGAAGGAAACCAACACUCAUGGAGUUUCACCAACGUGAGGGGUGAGCAAGGGAGCAUUUGUCUGGAGUCUGUUUGCUGGAUGUUGCUAAAUUUUUACGCCUCUACACUCUUUACAUUCAAAGCUGGUGAAAAUGGCUUUACUUCAAUGAGCAUUAAGGUUCAUAUGCCACAGCAAAGGAGGAAUAACCAAAUAAAACUCCAAAGCUAUACCUCCCUAAAUCCAUUCUGCUACCUUAAUAAAUAACAGAGCAGUGUAUUAUGAAAAAUUUAUUACAAACUAUUGCUUUGAGUUCAAGGAGAAACGCAUUACAGCAAGUGUUUCGGUAGAUUUAGAGGUCAUAGAAUGGCUGUGGGAGCCAUAAUAAAUUUGAUUCAGAGAUGUUUAAGGGUGUUUGCAUUAUGCAUGUUUAGACUUUAAACACGUGCUGGUGAAUCUCUGCGUCUGCCAGAUUUUAUCAAUCCAUCCUGGCCUCCUCCUCCUCCUCUCCUCCUUCACUCCUCCACUGAGAGGAGCAGGAGCCGUCAGUGGGUUCUGUUUAGACCUCGUGUGAGUGGCUGCUCUGGGCUGCGGUCCAGGCCCAUGCCGACGGAUGAGCACACACAACACACACUCCCUGGGCCGAGCCAGGCUUUACGGCACGGCCACAGUUUCCUUUCGCCAGGCCGCUGUACAAUCAUUAAGGCAGCCUUCACAUGUGUGUGUAGCACCACAUUCCCCAAAGGCAACCGAGUUUGACUAGCCAGCCAUCGUCUUUUACCGGCGCUGACAGGAGAGCAAAACACCGUGUUUAUUAUGGAUUCCAUUAUCAAGUUUACUUUUAUGUAUCUGCAGCCAGAUGACUCAUAACUCAGGCAGAGAGUCUGAUGGAAAGGAUAAAACUAAAAGCUUGUCCGGCGGCAUGCUUAUUGUUUCUCUCUUUCUCUCUUGACUCCUUUGUCUUUGGCUAACCUCAUGCUAGCCAUCCUUAGGCUAAAAAUCUGUUGACUCACCUCUUGGUUGUUUUACACAAAUCAGACAAUAGUUAUUUCUUUUGGACUAUGUGCUAAAAACCUGCUGAUAACCACAGGGAAACAGGCCUGUACUUUCUUCAGCCAAUUAUUCCAACACAGCUUGUCUUAGCUCCUAAAUUAGCCCUAAAUGUUUGUGUAACAUGACCUUUAACCCUGGGUGCAGCUAUUCUAUAAAUGUAAAACAAAUAAAUGCUGCAUGAUUGGAGUCAGUCAAAAAGUCAUUUCUGUUGUGUUUGAGUGGAAAACAUCUGCUAAAGCUGCAUCGUGCUGGAAAAACUUCAGGAAAGAGAUUAGGCCUACCCACCGGCUAACACCUUCCAUUAGCCUCCAUAAAGUGUGAAUUGGCAAGCUGUUAAAGAGGCGAGCGCUGUUAGCUGUCAAAGGAGCACAGAUACACCGCCUGCAACGGUUAGCACAUCAGCAUGAAUGAGGAAACCGCUGAUAACAAGUCGACAAGAGUUAUUUUCCUCUCCGGGAGUUAAAGAGGAUUUUCGCUGCAGAUCUCAAAGCAAACAAAUCGUAUAAACACAAGUGUUUAUUCAGGCACAUUUGAUUGCAAUUUACCAAACAACAAGCAAGGGGUACAAUCAGUGCAGCCAAAACAUCUACCAGCAGAUAACAGAGCUGUAAGAUCUGUGCAGAAAUGAGUGCAAGGCCAUUCAAAUUGAAUUCUUUCAUAGCUUUUCGUUGCUUCAUUCCAAGCCCCUGAGGCCAGUAUAACUCUGAUUUGCAGCAACAGUUUGUAUGCUGAUCGUGCCUGUUGGGAUGUGUGCGCGCGGAUGACAUCGAAUCCAACAGGAAGCCAGGGGCUAAUGAUUAGCACAUGUUUAGGAUCACUUGGGUGCCACAAUCUGGAGUUUGUCAUGCCGAAUGUCAUUGAUUUAUUUGGUUGUUGUUGCUUCACAGGGAGGGACAAGCCCUUUUUUUUUCCUACAGCCCACUCCCCUCUAUAACAUCUUGGCCUGCUUUAUCUGAUUCAGCUUCCAGCCAAUGGAGAUCUUUGGCUCGGUCAUGGUCCAUUUUGGAGCUUUAGGGUUUAAAAUGGGAGAGGUGAGAUGGGGCAUGCAUGGCACAGAUGCUUUAAUAUGAUCCUGCUUUGCACUUGCACAUAAUGUUGCUUGUUUUCACUCAGCAGAGAGCAACUAAACCAUAUGCUGCAGAAUUUCUGCACUGCAAUCCCGGGCUUGCUUUUAUUCUUUACAGCAAGUGAACGUGUGCGUUUGAAAAGCAUUACUCAUUGUGCAUGAACAAUUUCACACAUCUAUGUUAAGUGUGCAGUCCUUAAACCCAGGUCCUCUGCAGCUCCUCCUGCAUGCUCUGUGGGAUGUUAUCUGAUAGUCACUAAGUGGCGAAACACAAACACUAAGAGCAGCAAAGCGAGGCCAGUCCAGGCGUGAGGAUCGGGCAACAUAAGCACAUAAGGAAAGAGCCAUUGCACAUCCUGGAAAGCUGAGAGCGCAUCUGCAGGAGGAAUGUCGCUGUCUCUGGUUUCAAAAGUGAGCUGAGGAGAUGUAUUAGACCCUUCAGCGCAAACUAACCCAAGCUGUGACAAAAUCAUGCAGAUCUGUGAGCAGCUGGGUUUGGAUUCCACAGUUUUCCAGCUGUGUUGACCCAGAGAUGUCCGGUUAGAUGACCUAAGGAUUGCUUUGUGGACAGGCGUUGUCAGCUACUCCUUGUGACAUUUGACCAGGCUGACUUCAUAGUUUUAGUGUUUCCUCUUGUUUUGGCUCAGACUCCCAUAAGGUGAAGGCGUUCUGAGGCGUUCCAUCAUUCCUUCAUAUUCCCAGAAGUAAAAUAUUCCGGUCCAGCUGUCCUACUUCGAUGUCCUCUAGACGGCCAGGCCAGAAUCACGUCCAGAACUAUAAACCGCCUAAUCCCUAAUUGUCUCAUUUUUGCUUUUGGAAGAGUCCAAAAGAGUCAUUUGGCCACUCCUGCAGGUGGAGCUCAGUGAAGGAUACCAGGGCAGUGCUUGAAUAGAGGCUGAGUCAUUUAGUCAGAAAAGAGAGCAGUUCCAGUAACACUCCUCGUCUCUUACACAAGUUUAGACUCGACUUUUGACAUGAGGGUGGCCUUUGAUGGCUUUAAAUACACGACUUACAAUGUAAAAUAGAAACCGAAAGCAACGACUCACCUUGACGCACAGCCGUUAAAGCUUAAAACCUGAUUUUGCAAUCUCAUUGUGGUUAGGAACUCAGAUGGAAAACUCCUCUCUGUGUGAAUUCAACAGGAAAACAGCCUUAUCAGAAUCAGCAUGAGAAAUAUGUUAUCAAUCCCCAGCAGAGAAAAUUGGGUGUGACAGUUGAGAACAGAGCAUAGAAAAUAAUAACUAAUAACUACUUUUCCAUGUAGACCUCUAUACAAAAACUGGAGUUAAGACAAAAAGUUUACAUCCAAAUAUCAACAUGUACAAGUAUGCACAUAAACAUAUGUAUAUUUGCAUCCUGUUUAAAUGCAUAGUAAAAUUUUGUAUGCAACUUAAAAAAAAUCUUGUUUGCAGUCAUGGCCUACAUUUGGGGGAGUAUUUUGUUGUAUAGUCUGACAUAGAAAAUGUUGAUUUUGAAAGGAAAUCAAAAGUGUUCUGACAACUCUGAAGGGGUGUACUCAUUUAUGCUAAGCCUGUAGAUAUAGAUGUGUUCAGAAAUGUUCAUCAGCUGUUUGAAAUGAAUAAAGAUGAUGGCUUUGAACGGGUUGAAUAGAGUGUUUUAAAGCUCCUGUUGGAAGUAUCUUUACCUCUAUGAAAUACAGGGAAAUUUAUAUUGAUGCCUCUUUAUGAUUAACAAAAACAAAAAAGACCAUCAGUGACAAAAUUGAAGAUUUUUUUUAUUGUAUUUUAUGAUACCUGAUACUGGUGUGAGGGGGUAGGUGUCAGCAAAGCAGCUGAAAAAGGAAAAUAAACUCUACUUUUACAAUUCCCGCAUAAAAUACUCACAACAAACAACAUAUAUGAUAUGUGUAUGUAAUUCAAAUAUGUGCUUAUAGAUAUGGAUGUGUACAGAUAUGUCCAUCAGCUGCUUGAAAUGGAUAAAGACGAUAUGAAUGAAGGCGAUUUCAAACGACUGGUUUGUAACAGGUUGAAUAGAGUGUUUAAAGCUCCCAUUGGACCUAUUUUUAACUCUAUGAAAUACAGUGAAAUUCAUAUCAAUGCCUCUUUAUGUAAAACAAAAACAAAAAAGACCAUCAGCGACAAAAUUGAAGAUUUUUUUUUAAUUCUAUUUUAUGAUACCUAAUACUGGUGUGAGGGGGUAGGUGUCAGCAAAGCAGCUGAAACGGAAAAAUAAAUAUCUACUUUUACAAUUCCCACAUAAAAUAUUCACAACAAACAAAAUUUGGGGACUGCUUUGUCCACAGGGGGUCUCAUAAUGAUGUAAAACUACAGUUCCUCACAGGAGCUUUAAAGCUAGAGUUAUACAGUUUGGUUGCUGCAGGCUUGUUGUGGUGCUGGUGUGGUUUCUGUGUUUUACCAGGAUGUUAUGCAGUGGGUGUGGGAUUAUUACCUUCAGCGUUAACGUUGUUUUAAUAUUGCAAUAAUUGUUUUAAUCUUGUAAGAAUAUCAGGAUAUAUUCUCAGUCUUGAUCUUUCCACACAGUGCACGCCGUCUCUUGGAUUUCCUUUCGAAAAUAUAUUUUCCCAGAGCCCCAGCCCAGUGUUUCAAAUUUGUACAUUCAUUAAACGCAGCGGUGAAAUCACUGUGACGCCUCUGUGGUUUUCUUUUAGGUCAGCUGUUUUGCUCGAGGUCGGGUUGCUCAAACAGCACUGAGGCUCUUUUGCACAAGGUUCAUUCAGGGAAAUCGAAAACACUCCAGUUUGAAAUCCACAAACUUCUCUAAGUCUACUAAAUAACCAGCUUUUUAAAAUAGCUCACCUGCGAGAAUCUUCGUGAGGUGGGGUGUGUUGGUUUUAAAUUUCAGCCUCAACACAAUGGCCCUGUCUCUUGUUACUGCAGCCUGUUUGCUUUGUAAUCCCUCAGAGAAAGAAAGAAAGAAAGAAAGAAAGAAAGGAAGAGGAGCAGCUGUAGACGAGGCUGAAGGCUUUGGAUGGUUUGCUGUGUUAUCGGCCAUGUAAGAAUGAUCAUUUCCACUCAGAGUAAUGGAUAAGCUCUCCCUGGCACACAAAAUAAUCGGUCAAAGAUGUUAGCUCUAACAUGCAUGUGACUGAACCCAUGUAUCUUUAGGAGUCUUCACAAUAACACGGCUUUCUUUGGCGCAUGCUGAAAUGAUUAAAAUAAAACUUCAAACAGAAACUGCAUCAAAUAUUCAUUAAGCACGCAGCAUUCGCAUGUUUUCUACAAUAACGAUUAAACAUCUCGCUUGUGCAUGAUAAUAAGUUGCGAGCAUCCUCAUGGCUUGUUAAAUUAAAUACAGUUGUAACAAAGUAAGGGUGGGGCUCUCUGGAUCUCAUUGCAGUGAUGCUUCAUUUCCUGAGGAAUGUGUGACAGAUGAUGUAUUAUGGGAGUUCACGACAACAACAGCAACAGCAGUGUAGCUAUAAAACUUUAACUUUCCUUAUGUUUCUGACUGAUAUUGACUUUAAACAUGACAGAAAGAGGAAGAUCUGAUCUCCUGCUCUUCUUCCACUUCUGUGUGCCAGUGUGAGAGUCCUCUCUGACCACAUUAGAGCGAUACACCACUUGGGCAUUUACAAUCUCCACACACACACACUUGCUCCAGAUGGGCAGCUGGGGUUUUCUGCCGAUUCGGCUGCUGCUGGCACUGCCUUCCACCUGACCCCUGCGCAAAUUACAUCUUCAUAACCAGCAGCUCGUCCAGCUGAGCGGUCGGCUGAUUGUCAAAGAGCCCUCUCUGCUUCUCUCUCUCUCUCUCUCUCUUUGCCUCCGUCUCCCAGCUGUGCCAGGACUCAGGGCACUGCCUCGCCUCGGCAUCCCACAUCGAGCCUGGGCAGCAGCUCACAGUUCUUCCCCUGGUGUGUUUACAAACAGAGACCGCAGGAAUCCACCUGAUGAGCCAAAAAAGUGAGAAGAAGAGAAGAAGAGUAGAAAGAGAGAGAGGGGGAGAGGCAGGGGCAAGCUGUUCUCUCAGACUGCUGCAGCCGAUAACAUUCAUGCCUGGACUCCAAACAGCAAAUGUGUGCUUGUGUUUUUGUCGGUGUUGUCUUUUGCAUCCCAGUUUGCUUUACAACUUUGUCACUUGUGAGGAAAUGGCCUGAGACCGCAGUGUAAUGAGGGAUGCAGAACCACGGCGGCGGGCUGUGGCGGACGGUCCCUGUUGUCACUCAUCCUUAAAUCGUGUGUGCGCGCAGAUCCAAGCUGUUCCAUCAGUUUAGCAUGACGGAAACUUUUGCACCCUGUUAACUCCCUUUGGCACCGGACAAACUCUCCCUUCUCUGUGCAGACGCAGGAGUAAACAGGAGGCCUGCUUCACACACUCGCAGGCAUUCUGGGCAUACCGCGGGGCCUCCAGAGGGCUGGUCCACACACAUACACACACACACACACUCUCACACUCCCUAUCUGGACAUGUGUUGAGCACGUUCAGCUAGUCAGAGGGGGUCGGUGGGCAUGUCCAGCCACCCUCAACCAUCUGGAACGAGGUAAAGAGCCUGUAAGGUGUGGCUUGUUAAGACAUAAAACAUUCACAAACGUAUGGCUCAGAAUGUCGACACUGAUGGGACGCUGAUUCAUACAACCCUGAUUUCACAAGAUUGAAGAUGUUGUGCAAAAAACAGACUUUGAUGGUAUGCAAGACAUUCAAAACUUAUAUUUUGGUUUCAAAUAGUGCAACGAUAACAUAACUUGACAGUUUGACUGCAUGUUAGUUGUUGUGCUGCAUCACCUCUGAAGUGAAAUUUUGCGGUUAUACAUAUCGAAUGUUGUCCAGUUCUUGCCUGAUUUAAGAUUUAAGGUGCUCCACGUUUGUAGAUCUCCUUGAAAGUGUCCUUGCACCGUGAUUUAUGAGUCGUGACGUGCCAAAUGUUUCCAAUAGGUGACAAAUCAGGAUUGCAAGCACGCCACUUCAGGAGCCAAAGCCACGCUGUUAAUACGUGCGAAAUGUUCUCUCUGAAGAAGUCUUGAGUGGAAGUAUAUAUUGCUCCAAAACCUAAGUACAGACAGUGUUUGUUUUUUAAGUUUUUGAGCCCAUGCAGUGAUUUCCACUACAGAGUCAUGUCUGUUUUUAAUUCAGUACUGCAUUAAAACCCAAAAAUCACAGCCAUCCUCUCCCAGUCAUCAGCCCUGUCCCUUUUGUUCACAUACUUCUCCAGAUUCUCAUAAUUUUCGAUGAUAUUAUGUACGGUUGUAAAUCCCUGAAUUCUUUCCAAUGUUAUGCUGAAGCACAUUUUUCUGUAACUGCUUAGCUGUUCGCUAAAGCAAGCUAUCACAUGGAGGGAUUCAGCCUCUCAGAAAAUCAAUCAAUCAAUCAAUCAACUUUAUUUCUAUGGCACAUUUAAAAGAACCACGGGGGUAGCCAAAGUGCUGUACAAACUGUGUUUUUAUAACACAGAUGUGUUUCUAACCUGUUGCAAAAGUUUAAUUUAGCCUCACACAACUUUUUCAGUGUCUUAUUGUGUUUUCCAAACUGUUUUGAAAAGUAAAUAAGCACCAUUCGGCUCAAAUCUGACCCGUUUUGACUUUUAAAAGCAGUAAAAAUACCCUAAAUAUCAUUCUUUAAGCCUGAAACUUGAUGACUUUUCCUGAAGUAGCCUAAAAUACAUGAAAUUAUUUUAAAAUUAUUCAUGUGUAUUUGUGUAUACAUGCACAUUUUUCUCCUUUGGGGCUGUUACAGGUCAAA